GCCUGGGUGGCUCAGUCAGUUGAGCGUCCGACUUCAGCUCAGGUCAUGAUCUCACGGCUUGUGGGUUAGAUCCCCGUGUCAGGCU
rnacentral:tRNA from 1 species